rnacentral:rRNA from 1 species
GACGAACCAUGCGAACGUUGUUCGGAAUCACUGGGCUUAAAGGGCGCGUAGGCGGGCAAUCAAGUCUGAGGUGAAAUCCUCCAGCUUAACUGGAGAAGUGCCCUGGAUACUGAUUGCCUCGAGGAUGGUAGGGGCAUCUGGAACUAGCGGUGGAGCGGUGAAAUGCGUUGAUAUCGCUAGGAACACCAACGGCGAAGGCAGCACUCUGGGCCGGUACUGACGCUGAGGAGCGAAAGCGUGGGGAGCAAACAGG